rnacentral:rRNA from 1 species
GGCUCAGAUUGAACGCUGGCGGCAUGCCUUACACAUGCAAGUCGAACGGCAGCACGGACUUCGGGUCUGGUGGCGAGUGGCGAACGGGUGAGUAAUGCAUCGGAACGUGCCAUUGAGUGGGGAUAACGUAGCGAAAGUUGCGCUAAUACCGCAUAUUCUGUGAGCAGGAAAGCAGGGGACCGCAAGGCCUUGCGCUCUUUGAGCGGCCGAUGUCAGAUUAGCUAGUUGGUGAGGUAAAGGCUUACCAAGGCGACGAUCUGUAGCGGGUCUGAGAGGAUGAUCCGCCACACUGGAACUGAGACACGGUCCAGACUCCUACGGGAGGCAGCGGUGGGGAAUUUUGGACAAUGGGGGCAACCCUGAUCCAGCCAUGCCGCGUGAGUGAAGAAGGCCUUCGGGUUGUAAAGCUCUUUCGGCCGGGAAGAAAUCGCAUGGGCCAAUACCCUGUGUGGAUGACGGUACCGGAAUAAGAAGCACCGGCUAACUACGUG